GAUGAACGCUGGCGGCGUGCUUAACACAUGCAAGUCGAACGGAAAGGCCCUGCUUUUGUGGUGUGCUCGAGUGGCGAACGGGUGAGUAACACGUGAGUAACCUGCCCUUGACUUUGGGAUAACUUCAGGAAACUGGGGCUAAUACCGCAUAGGAGCUCCUGCUGCAUGGUGGGGGUUGGAAAGUUGCGGCGGUUGGGGAUGGACUCGCGGCUUAUCAGCUUGUUGGUGAGGUUGUGGCUUACCAAGGCUAUGACGGGUAGCCGGCCUGGGAGGGUGACCGGGCACAUUGGGACUGAGGUACGGCCCAGACGCCAACGGGAGGCAGCGGUGGGAAAUAUUGCGCAAUAGGCGGAAGCCUGAUGCAGCAACGUCGCGUGCGGGAUGACGGCUUUCGGGUUGUAAACCGCUUUCGCCUGUGACGAAGCGUGAGUGACGGUAAUGGGUAAAGAAGCACCGGCUAACUACGUG
rnacentral:rRNA from 1 species